rnacentral:ncRNA from 2 species
CGCCUCCUGUCAGGAGAGAGCGCGGGCUUCCACAAGACGCCCCGCCGCCGAAGGCGCAGAAGCACCGGCCCGCCACCGCCGCCCGCUUCGAACGCUCAGGCAAAAGGACUGGCAGGCGCUG